rnacentral:rRNA from 1 species
CCUACGGGAGGCAGCAGUGGGGAAUAUUGGGCAAUGGAGGCAACUCUUACCCAGCAAUGCCGCGUGAAUGAAGAAGGUCUUCGGAUUGUAAAGUUCUUUAAUUGGGGACGAAAAAAAUGACGGUACCCAAGGAAUAAGCCCCGGCUAACUACGUGCCAGCAGCCGCGGUAAUACGGAGGAUGCGAGCGUUAUCCGGAUUUAUUGGGUUUAAAGGGUGCGCAGGCGGAGGCACAAGUCAGCGGUAAAAUCGCGGGGCUCAACCCCGCUCCGCCGUUGAAACUGUGUCCCUUGAGUGCGCGAAGGGUAGGCGGAAUGCGUGGUGUAGCGGUGAAAUGCAUAGAUAUCACGCAGAACUCCGAUCGCGAAGGCAGCCUACCGGCGCGCAACUGACGCUCAUGCACGAAAGCGUGGGUAUCGAACAGGAUUAGAUACCCCUGUAGUC